rnacentral:lncRNA from 1 species
AGGUGACUUUUUAUUCAUUAUAUACCUCCUCAAAUGACAAAAACAGAUCUAAACCCAAGUUAGGUUAAAUGGGAAAUAGAAUAGCUGUAGAGAAUUAUACUCAAUAACGGGUGGCAUACUAAUCUUGCAUGGGGAAAAAAAUAAAUUACACAAAGAAGACAAUUUGCAUGGUGUAAACCCAGCUGUGAAGAGCCCACGGUUCAUUGUGGAUGAUCUUUCCACAAUGUGGCAAUCCUGGCAUUAGACAGCCAAACACUGUUUCUUAUAAAGUGUAAUAUAAUGGAGAAUUUAAGAGUAAUGUAAUUUUAUUCAAUCUGCUGAAAGAGACAUAAGGGUUUUUUUUUUUUUAAGAGCCAUCAAAAGGAAUACCAAAGAUGAUGAAUGUUCAGAACAAGGUCUGUGAAAAAUUAUUCAGCAAGAAAAAUAAAAGGCAGAAAGGGGAUAUAAUCACAUGCAGGAAUACCAGGCCCAGGAAAAGAAGUAACAAGAUGCUCCUCUCAUCUGUUCUCAUUGAAUAGCUCCUUUCCUAUUCAGAUUUUGUAAAAAUUAGAUGUUUAUGUGCAUUGUCAUUUCUGAGGUGCAAUGCUUAUUCCCUAAAGAUGUCUCAAAAGAGAAGAUUAUCUACUUUCCUUUGUUUUUCAGGAACAAUCCAGUGGUAAUAAGACUGCAUCCCUCAGGAUGUAGUUCUUAGGGAUUUCCUCAUCAUGUAGGCCCAGCACAAGCAGGAGGUCAAACUGAGUGAUUUCAAAUUCUGACUCCAUCACUAACUAGCCAGGCAAUUUAAUUUCCCAAAUGGGUAAAAGGAGGAUGAGACUAAGAUCACUGGGAUGACCAAGUAAUUUAUCUGCCAGAAGCUCUCGGAACAGAGCUUGGUGCGCUAGGCCCUGCACACAGGUUUGUGGCACCAGGGCUGGGUCAGUAGGACAGGCUCAUCCACCACCCCUGUGUGUGGGGUGCUUAUUGGGGCCAGACCUUGCUCAGUGUUCCCCUCCUUUCUUUUCAUCUAUCUGAAUUUUACUUUUUCUCCAAGACCCUGGCUUUUCUAGUCUGAGAAGCAGGUGAUGGAAGGAGAAAGCUCACAAGAACCAUGGAAGUUGUUAGAAUCCUAAUAAACAGAUAAAGAAACUAAAGCUCAGAAGCUGAGACAGAGAAAUGGGUACUUGAGCUACUUAGAAAUUGUAUUUCACAGCCUUGUCCUCCAUUCAACAUGUGCAUCAUUCUCUCUGACAAAGUGCAGUUUGGGCAGGUAUUUGGGUCAGCACAGAUGAAUGUGAAUAAGGCAGAGUUGAUCAAAAACCCCAAGAAGACUUAUAAGACUUUUGGAGUGGCUAUUAUGGGCUAUUGAUCCCUGAGGAUUAAGUUAAUAAAUAAGUUAGUGAAGAAACAUAAAUGGGAAAAAUAUGAAAGAACAUUUAAAUUACCUGUCUGUAUAAGACUGAAUCUAGUGCUUCUUGAAUGUUUAUACACAAUCCACAAAAGCACUACAGCGCUUGAAACUAUUGAAACUUCCCGGGCAACACAGCAAAACCCAUGUUCCACUGAAAUACUAGGAAGGAUUAUAAUAAUGAUUUGAAUUUAUAUUAAUGUAAAUGUAUAUAUGAUACAUAAAUUAUAAUUACAUAUUUAUGUAUCAUCAAUUUACACUUAAUAUAUUUAUAGUAUUAAAUGAUAUUAAAACAAUGAGAUUUUAGGCAUCAUGGUUUUUUGGUUUUUUUUUUUUGUCUGGUUGCCCUGGAAUUCCCAGGCUAGAGAUCAGAUCUGAGCCUCAGUCACACAACCUAAGCCACAGCUGCAGUAUCACUGGAUCUUUAACCCACUGUGCCAGGCUGGGGAUUGAACCUGCAUCACAGCACUUCUAAGUCACCACAGAUCCGAUUGUGCCACAGCAGGAACUCCAAGAAUAAUGAGGUAUUAUAAUGCAUACUCUUAGCUACUGUCCUGAAUUACUGUGAGAGUGGUUGAGCAUUAAGAGCAGCUUAACAUUAAUCCUAGCCUUAGAAGUGUCCAAUGACAACAUCUGUCCUAGUCCUCUCAUUCUGUAGGUAUUAGCAGAAAAGCGAUGCCCACAUGGAGACUUCCUUUCUCAGAACUGGAAGACUGAAUCAACAGAUAUUUUUGGAGUGGCUAUUAUGGGCAAGAAAAUUCUAAUUGCUAAAGAAAAAAUGGAGAGUAAGAUAAAGAUCCCAGCUGAUUUCCAGGAGCUUACGUUUUAGGGAGACCAGAGACAUGUAAAUGGCAAUGAAAGGGUACUCCAUGAAUGUAUGGCUUGUACAUCACAAAAGUACCCUGUACUUAGAAGAACUUUUUAUUUGGUUAAAUGCUCUCUCAUUACCAUCUUGAAAUUCUUCAUUACUUUUGAACUAGGGGCCUCUCAUUUUCAUUUUGUGCUGGGCCAUGGCAAAUUGUGUGUAUCCAAAUAAGUACUAGAGUAGAUAAGAGCAGGCUACCAUGGGAACAUGUAGGAUGGACAUGCAAGCCAGUAUUUGGAUGGAGAAAGCUUCUUCCAGGAAACAGUCACAAACCCAUGUAAAUGGAUAAAUAGGGAUUAGUCAAAUGGAAGAGAGAAAGGAGAAAAGAGACAUAAGGAGAGAGAAUAGCUUGUGUGGAGGCUCUUUGUUGAGCAAGAGAAUGGAGAAGUCAUAGUAUGUUAGUGUAAUUUUAGAGUGAAAGGUAAGAGGAGAUGAAGGAGGGCACAUAUCAUAGAUAACUAUGCAAAUUAUGGUAUUAGAGAUCAUUAUAUUCUGAAAGGAUUACUCUCUUUGAAUGAAUUUAAGUGGGAAACUGAUUUGUCAAAUGAGUGUUUUAGAGAAAUUGCUCCUAAUUGCUGUGUAGAAAAAUCCACAAGGGGCUUGUUUGAUGGCAUUUCCAUUAUUAAUUUAAGGUGAAAAAAUAUGACUUGAACCCAAAGUUCUGACAGGAGGGAUAGAUUUCAGACAACAUAGCAGUAGCCAGGAUUUCUGAAGGAAGGGAUGAGGAGUCAGGGAUGAUGAGCAUAUUUUCAAUUGGGAAAAUGAAUGAAUGUUCAUCACGUUUAUUGAGGUACCAACUAUGGAGCAGGGAGUGGGUUUAUGCAGAAGAUCACGAUUUCCGUCUUGGAAUUGCUAAAUUCGUCUACAUGAUGUUCACAAGGAGAAAUCCAGGGUCAGAAAGGUAAGAGAUUCUGGAGUGUGGAAGGCAUUCAUGGGGAAAAAAAGAGAAGCGAAGUAAGUGGAGAAGUUGGCACAGGUUGCCUAGAAAUAAAAACAAAACAUUGUACACAACCAAAAUCAUUCAUUCAGGCAUUUCAUUCAUAGAAUAGAAUAAUGGAGAUUUCCAAAUGCUGUUAUCACUCAAGUUCCUAAAUGCACACCAGUACAGUUAAAAUUGAUAUCAUGCAGUACAGGCAUUAAUGGACUCCUGUAAAUGCUUUGACUUCCUAAAAAUAUAGGAUCCCUUGGACCAGUGUCAUGCCUUAUUAUUCUGUGGUAGAAUUCAAAGUAUCUAGCAAAAUGCCUUGCGACACAUAUGUAUGUGUUGCAUGAUUGCUUUGUUGAUUUUCUUUUUUUUUUUUUUUUCCUUCUAACUGGAGCAAAAGAGGGAUUCUGCUUCCAUCUGGUCACUGGAACAUUUCAGCCUAUAACCACUAAGGCACAGAGUCAUAAAAUCUGGGACUAAAUCAGAUGGAAACCAGAAGAUAUCUCAAGUUCCCUUAUGUUCCUGUACUGAAUAUUCAUUAUAGAGGCAUUUUUUUUCCCUCUCAAAUAGAAGCAUCAUUCCUAGCCAUCAGAUAUUUUUCACCAGUUAUCUGAGUAUAAAUGAAUGCCUGCUAGGCAUCAGAUGAAGUCAACAGUAACAAUGUCCUUCAGGAAUUACUUACUACUUUUCUUCUCCUUGGUUUUCUCAUCUUUUAUUUCGGAAAUCAGUUCAUGUCUAUCCAAUAUCCCAUUCUUUAAAAUGCCAGAAUAUCAAGAAAUUGUUGUUGGCUUUCCCCUUAAGAACUUAGGUUAAAUCAUAUUGACUCUUGGAAUUAUCUCUUUCUCCUGUCUCAUGUGGUCCUGAAGGUACACCUCAUAGAAAAACUCUAAUAGAAGUGGGAGACAUGCUGAAAGAGGAGGAAAUAAUACAUUAAUUUUUAUGAUGGAGGCCAACUGCAUGAAAAUGUACUCUGAAUCAAACUGCCAAAAAUGUUUAUUUUUCUUUGAUGGCUCACACUUGUCUCUAGAAUUCAGUAUUUUUAAUCAGAAUUUGAUAAACAUUGUUGGAAAAAAGUACUCCAUGACCAAUUUAUUUACAUUUUUGAUUACACAUAUAAAUUCAUAGAUGGAAUCCUUUCUCUGGAUUUAACACACUCUUCCUCAUAAAAAUACAAGGAACUUGAACAUAUGGCACACUUGUACCACAGCAUGGACUAUAACAUUCAAAAGGACAUAAUUAAUUGGAAUACUAAGAAACAGCAUGCUUGUACAAGCACAGUAAAAUUCAAGAUAAUCAUUUUAGCCUACUUUAUGUUCUAAAUAUUUGAAAGGUGCAAAUGACUGAAAAAACUGUUGAAAUCCAAACUUUUGCCUUCAAGCAGUGUAUUGAAAUUCAUUGAUAAAGCAAUUCUCAUAAAAGCGUAAAUCAAAUGUAUAAAGGAGAAAAGAAUGUAACUAAAUAAUAAUGGCAGAAAUUCCAUUUUUCUUAUUGCAUUACUAUGUUUACCUUGUGAAAGACUUGUAGCCUUCUUAAAAUUGCAGUCUGCCAAGUGUUUAUAAGGAUAGAUAAUGCUGCUAAUACCUCCACAUUUUAUAUUUAUUACAGCUAUCAGAAAUCUUACAGAAAUUUACAUUUCAGUCAGUCUUUUUACACUGGAGAGAGGGAGGAUAUUUUCAUAAUAAAUUUUCAUAGCUGAUUUAAAAAUAA